GUUUGGUAAUCUCACAGUGCACCCUAGGUAUAUAUAUAUUAGUAAAGGCUUGAAGUUUGCAAGUAUUCUUCCAAAUAUCAACCUCUUAUCUCUCUCUGUGACUCUAGCCUUUCCUAGCUCUACGAGGUUUCAUUGUCCAUGCUUUUCAAUGGGAGCAUUUCCCCACAUUUUCUGGGAAAGUAAUGUAUUUUUGUGGGACAUGGUAUUUGUUUAUUUAUUUUGGUAAUCCGGGCAAGGUUUGGAACCUACCUGCAAAAAUUAGAUAGAUGUUUCUAUUUUUUGUGCUUUGGUCGGGGCCUGGGACAACGUUCCAUGACAAUGAGUGAGUGAGGCCCAAGCAGAUAGAUAGAUAAUAGUGAGCACUAUUGUGAGUUUCACAUUGAGAAAAACCCUCUUAUAGGAAAGGAUCCUCACAGUUUCCAAACCCACAACCUCAGAUUUCUGCUGGAGAAUGAAAAGACACAGUUUUGUAGCUAUUUGGCAUACUUCUGAGGAAGAUUGCUUUCAAAACAGGCGAAGAUAACCUAAGACACCUGUAAAGGAUUUACAUGUCUCAUACUUGUGAAGAACGAAGAUUUGUUUUGCCAUCUCCAGCUUUGAAGUACUUUUCAUGUUGUGUAUUCCAGCUGUGAAGAUUGGACUCUGAACAUUUGCAUUUGCCUAUUGUUCCAUCUUUACCAUAAUUGUAUAUGCUGGUUUCAUGUAUGGUUUGGGAUUUGUUAUAAAAGUUGUACAUUUACAUA